CGUGGCUAGUUGAAUUUCUCGUAGCCAGACCGCCCGCAAAACGGGGAGGAAGGUGGGAUGACGUCAAGUCAGCAUGGCCCUUAUACCCUGGGCCUACACACACGCUACAAUGGGUGGUACAAUUGGUUGCGACAGAGCGAUCUGGAGCUAAUCUAUAAAGCCAUCCUCAGUUCGGAUUGCAGGCUGCAACUCGCCUGCAUGAAGCCGGAGUUGCUAGUAACCGCAGGUCAGCAUACUGCGGUGAAUACGUUCUCGGGCCUU
rnacentral:rRNA from 1 species